AUUGAACGCUGGCGGCAGGCUUAACACAUGCAAGUCGAGCGGAGAUGAGGUGCUUGCACCUUAUCUUAGCGGCGGACGGGUGAGUAAUGCUUAGGAAUCUGCUUAUCAGUGGGGGACAACAUUCCGAAAGGAAUGCUAAUACCGCAUACGCCCUACGGGGGAAAGCAGGGGAUCUUCGGACCUUGCGCUAAUAGAUGAGCCUAAGUCGGAUUAGCUAGUUGGUGGGGUAAAGGCCUACCAAGGCGACGAUCUGUAGCGGGUCUGAGAGGAUGAUCCGCCACACUGGGACUGAGACACGGCCCAGACUCCUACGGGAGGCAGCAGUGGGGAAUAUUGGACAAUGGGCGGAAGCCUGAUCCAGCCAUGCCGCGUGUGUGAAGAAGGCCUUUUGGUUGUAAAGCACUUUAAGCGAGGAGGAGGCUACCUGGAUUAAUACUCUAGGAUAGUGGACGUUACUCGCAGAAUAAGCACCGGCUAACUCUGUGCCAGCCGCCGCCGUAAUAC
rnacentral:rRNA from 1 species